UACGUAAGGACCGAGCGUUGUCCGGAAUCAUUGGGCGUAAAGGGUACGUAGGCGGGUUUUUAAGUUAGAAGUCAAAGGCUAUAGCUCAACUAUAGUAAGCUUCUAAAACUGGGGACCUUGAGUAAUGGAAGGGAAAGUGGAAUUCCUAGUGUAGCGGUGGAAUGCGCAGAUAUUAGGAGGAAUACCGGUGGCGAAGGCGACUUUCUGGCCAUUAACUGACGCUGAGGUACGAAAGCGUGGGUAGCAAACAGGAUUAGAUACCCUGGUAGUCAAGGGCG
rnacentral:rRNA from 1 species